rnacentral:rRNA from 1 species
GCGAAUGCUGACAUGAGUAGCGAUAAUGCGGGUGAAAAGCCCGCACGCCGUAAGCCCAAGGUUUCCUGUUCAACGUUCAUCGGAGCAGGGUGAGUCGGCCCCUAAGGCGAGGCAGAGAUGCGUAGCUGAUGGGAAGCAGGUUAAUAUUCCUGCACCGUCGUAUGAUGCGAUGGGGGGACGGAUCGCGGAAGGUUGUCCAGCUGUUGGAAUAGCUGGUUUCUGGUUCAUAGAAGGCGCUUAGGCAAAUCCGGGCGCGGAAUUCAAGGGACUGGGACGUGUACCCAUGUGGUACGAAGCAAUCGGAAGUGGUUCCAAGAAAAGCCUCUAAGCUUCAGUCAUACGAGACCGUACCGCAAACCGACACAGGUGGGCGAGAUGAGUAUUCUAAGGCGCUUGAGAGAACUCGGGAGAAGGAACUCGGCAAAUUGGUACCGUAACUUCGGGAUAAGGUACGCCCUAG